AUAUCACGUAGAAACACCAAUUUCCAUAUGGUCACUGAAGUUAAGCAACAUUGAGCCUGGUCAGUACCUUGAUGGGUGACCACUAAGGAAUACCAGUUGCU